ensembl:lncRNA
CCGGAAGUCGCUUUCUAGUUGGUACAUAAGCACAGAGUUAGAGUAAGCAAGGCUUGUCGGGUGGCAAGUGGUUUGAAGCACCUUGGUGGCAGUAAAUUCCUCAACCUUCCAGAUGUGUUGCUGUUUUAUGGUGUGGAAGGGACAGGCCCUGAAGAGAUGGCUCAAAUACGAAGAACCUCAUCAUCAGGUUUUGGGGAACCCCCUUUGGGAUGUAUUUAUUCCCCUUAAAUCAGUAAUUCUGCUCUUGAGUUCACAAGAUGUGGCUUUUGUUUCGCUGUUUUGAAACAAGGAAGGUCUCACUCUGUAUUCCUGGAACUCACAUUGCAGACCUGAACUCAAAGGUCAGCCUGCCUCUGUGUCCCCAGUGCAGGAAGUAUGCCCCACCACACCUGGCAUUUUUAUUUAUUUACUUACUUGUUUGUUUGUUUAUUGAGAUGGAAUUAUGUAUCCCAGGCUGGACUGCAACUCACUUUGUAGACCAGACCCUUAAUCCCAAUACUAGUGAGACAGAGGUGGGUGGAUCUAUGUGAGUUCAAGAAGAGGCAUUGAGCUGAGCAGUGAGUGGUGGCACACACCUUUUAUCCCAGCACUCAGGAGGCAGAGGCAGGCGGAUCUCUGAGUUCGAAGUUACCAUGUACAGAGUAAGUUCCAGGACAGCCAGGGCUGUUACACAUAGAAACACUUCUUUAAAAACCAAAAAAGUGGCAUUGCUUUUUUUUUCUUUUGUCUUUUGUUUGUUUUGUUUUUCUGAGACAAGAUUUCUCUGUGUAGUCCUGGCUGUCCUAGAACUUCCUCUGUAGACCAGGGUGGGCCUUGAGCUCACAGAGAUUCUGCCCCUGCCUCUGCAGUGCUGGAAUUCAAGGCAUCAUCACCACCCAGCUAAGAAGUGGCAUUUUAAAAAUAGCUUUAGUGAUGAAACUAGGAAAAAUAAAAUCAACUGCUUGCCAGCAUUGCAGAAGUGGCAUAAGCAUUAGAAGGUAGGUCUUGGGCAUUGAGUAAAUUUGAACGAUAUUCCUUGCAGAGUUAGGUAUGCAUCCUAAGAGAAUGGGCUCCAAAAAGCCAGUUCAAGCACUAGUGAUAAAUCCUGGUCCCACUGCCAGUGGUCUCACAGAUUGCCCAAGCCACACAACUGUCACCCACAUUCAGUCCGGUCCUCGUCCCUGUCCCCCUGCUGUCAGUCCAGAGUCAGUGAGCUUCCACUAGCUCAGGUCAGCUGUCUCUGUGGGUAUCCCAAAAAUGUUCUUGACCCCUUUGCUCAUAUUAUCACUCUUCCUGCUCUUUGACUAGACUCGGAGAGCUCGGUCCAGUGCUUAACUGUGGAUCUCCUCAUCUGCCUCAAUCAGUUGCUGGAUGAAGAUUCUAUGAUAAUUCAGGUUCUGGUUUGGAUUGUGGUUUGUACCCCAAAGGUUCUAAGCUGGAGGCUUUGUCCCCAGGGUGGAGGUGCCUGAAAAGUUGGGACUCAGGAUAGGUCAUUAGGUCAUGGAGACUCCACCCUCAUGAGUGAUUAAUUCUGGUCUCCUAGGAACAGGUCAGAUGGAAAGCCUUCACCAUAUGCCAAACAGAUGAAGCUUCCUUACUCAUCCUCCAAAACUCCUUUACCCAGCAGCUGGAGGAAGUAGAAGACACCCACAACUAAUCGCUGAACUGAACUGGAAUCCAGUUACAGAGAAGGACGAGUGAUGAGCAAAGAGGUCCAGACCAGGGUUCUCUGAGCUCUGAUGGAAGAUAUUUGAUGGAGACAUCCUGUUUAGGGAUGGGUAUUCCAAGGUCACUCGCUCUUUGUGUAAUGUGGCUGUGGAUCUCUUUAUUUGUUCCCAUAUGCUGCAGGAGGAAGCUUCUCUGAUGAUGGUGUCUGUUGGAUGAUGGAACGGAAAGCCAUGAGGGACAUGAUGAGAG